UGAUCGACUCUCUGUUAUCCACAACUAAGUCGGCCGAGCUUGAGCUCUCACGGACAAGGAUCAAGCAUCUGGUCUGCAGCACCUUCCACGGCGCUUCUCGUUCCCCAAGCAGCCGCAGGAGGAAGCCAUGACAUCUCCCGCCGUGAGCAUUACUGUCGCAGAGGCCGUCUGGGAGCAGAUCAAAUCCUCACGAUCAGCCUCGGACGAUCACCUGUCGAUUUUGCAAUUCCUCUUCGGCAGGAACUUGGAGCGCGCCACAAGGAUCGUCGACCAGGGCGGCGUGCGUAAGGUCUCCGCCGCGCCCAGCGGCCGUUCCUUCUUCCUGGUUGUCGGGGAAUCAAAGAGGAAGGAAGAGUAUAUCUGCUUCCCGGAGCACCACUGCACUUGCUAUUCCUUCUUCUACGACGUCGUCAAUCGUGGGGAGCAACUCUGCUGCAAGCAUCAAAUAGCGGCUCGACUGGCAGAAGCCGUAGGCGAGGUUGUGGAAGUGGAGGUGUCCGAUGAGCAGCUAGCAACGAUGCUCUCGAAGCUCUGACAAACAAAGCGCCCCCGAGAGUGGAUAUACUGAUGGAUGCUACUGAUGUCUGACGCAUCAGAAGUUUGGAUCCAACCCAAGUUCUGAGUCUAAGCUUGUCACAAAUCCGGUGUCGUGAAGAUGGGAUUUGGCUGGAUCAACAUAGGCUGAACUGCGAGCUCGAGAUCUGCAAGCUCACGUGGACACCGAAGAGGAUGCUUGGUGGUGCUUACUAUAUGCCGGUGCAUGGGUAGGCUGCCCUAGAAGAAGUGUUUAUGUUGAAAGAAGCUCAAGUUUUGCUAGCUCUAGAACGGUGUUUUGAUAUCAUGAGAAUAAAAGAGUUUCACAUUGAUGCAAUGAAAAUGUUGACCUCUUUAUCUGAAAACAGAAAUAUUUUCAUAUGCUGCCUAUUGUAUGAUUAAGAAAGUCUGAAGCUAAUAAUUUGGAUGUUCCCAAUUUUUUAGCGAAUUUAAGAAAGUCUGCAUCUUU